CUGACCCAUUCCCGUUCCAGGUGGCUGUUCGCAUUCCCAACUGACCCAUUCCCAUUCCAGGCAGCCAUGGGCUAUUCCCAUUCCCAUUCCUGUUCCCAUUCUCGUUCCAGGUGCCCAUGGGCUAUUCCCAUUCCUGUUUCCAUUCCCAUUCCAGGUGCCCAUGGGCUAUUCCCAUUCCCAUUCCUGUUUCCAUUCCCAUUCCAGGCAGCCAUGGGCUAUUCCCGUUCCUGUUCCUGACCCAUUCCCAUUCCUGUUCCCAUUCCCGUUCCAGGUGCCCAUGGGCUAUUCCCAUUCCUGUUCCCUUUCCCAUUCCAGGUGGCCAUGAGCUAUUCCCACUCCCAGCUGUCCCAUUCCCUUUCCCAUUCCAUGCAGCCAUGGGCUAUUCCCAUUCCCAGCUGACCCAUUCCCUUUCCCAUUCCAGGUGGCCAUGGGCUAUUCCCACUCUCUGGUGAUCGCCCGGGACGAGUCGGAGGCGGAGCAGGAGAAGCUGCGGAAGCUGCCGGAGUACAACCCCCGCACCCUCUGAGGGGCCCCGAUCCCGAUCCCGCUUCUCCAUCCCGGCCGCCGUGCUCCCUCCCCGCUCCCGCACUCCCGGCCCUCGGCGGGGUCACUCCCACCCCCAUUCCCGGCUUUUGGAAUUCCCCACCGCAGCCGGGCCUCCCGGCACGUCCCACCCCGGGUUUUGUAGGGUCUGGCCUUGAAUUGUUUUUUAUUUUAUUUGUAUUUUUCCGCAGCUUUUUUUUACUGUUUCCCGUUUUUCCAGCCCCGAAUCUCCAUGGCUGCUGGCUCGGGAUCACUUUGGGGAUCUGAUCCCGGCUUGGGAUCCCUUUAGGGAUCUGGGAUCCCUAAAGAGCAGCUGCCAACACCUGGUUUUUCCCCUAUAUUCCCAUUUUUUUCCCCCCAGUAUUCCCAUUUUUUGCUGGUUUUCCCUACUCUGGGUGCUACAGUUUUUGGGACUUCCCCCUUCCCAGCCCUCCAGCAUCCGCAGGGAUCCCGGAUCCCAUCCCAGCAGCAUUCCCGGGCUCCCCACCCUCGCCCACCCCGGGGACAUCUCAGGGAUCACGAGGGGAGUCCCAAAGGAAUUUUUUUCCCGGGAAUUCGGGGUUUUUUUCCCUUCUGGCGGAUGGUUUGGCCCGGGAUCAGCCGGAAUUCCCACAUUCCCAGUUCCCUCCGUGCCAGGUCACUGUGCUGGAAUCUCGAGGUGCCUUCAGGAGCAGAGCCCGGCUCUGCCCCGCGCCAUUCCCGCUCCCUUCGGGCCGUUUUUAGGGAUUCUCCUGGAUUUUUCCAUGGAUUUUUGCUCCUUCCCAUCUCCCCUGGGG
rnacentral:lncRNA from 1 species